AUUGAACGCUGGCGGCAUGCCUUACACAUGCAAGUCGAACGGCAGCACGGGUGCUUGCACCUGGUGGCGAGUGGCGAACGGGUGAGUAAUACAUCGGAACGUACCUUAUCGUGGGGGAUAACGCAGCGAAAGCUGUGCUAAUACCGCAUACGCCCUGAGGGGGAAAGCGGGGGAUCGAAAGACCUCGCGCGAUUAGAGCGGCCGAUGCCUGAUUAGCUUGUUGGUGGGGUAAAAGCCCACCAAGGCGACGCUCAGUAGCUGGUCUGAGAGGACGAUCAGCCACACUGGGACUGAGACACGGCCCAGACUCCUACGGGAGGCAGCAGUGGGGAAUUUUGGACAAUGGGGGCAACCCUGAUCCAGCAAUGUCGCGUGAGUGAAGAAGGCCUUCGGGUUGUAAAGCUCUUUUGUCAGGGAAGAAACACCGGCUCUAACACAGUCCGGGAAUGACGGUACCUGAAGAAUAAGCACCGGCUAACUACGUGCCAGCCGCCGCGGUAA
rnacentral:rRNA from 1 species